rnacentral:tRNA from 1 species
CAGGGAGACAACAAAAUGUUUAAUAUUAUUAUUUUGUCACCUUAGGUCGAUCGGUAUCUCACAUUCUUAAUUUAUUAAGAAUUUCAUUUCCUAAGUUUUUCUAGGUCACACCCAUUAUUUUUCCUGGGCCAUUAGCUCAGGUGGUUAGAGCGCACCCCUGAUAAGGGUGAGGUCCCUGGUUCAAGUCCAGGAUGGCCCAUAUCUCUAUGUUGGGGGUAUAGCUCAGUUGGUAGAGCGCCUGCUUUGCAAGCAGGAUGUCAGCGGUUCGAGUCCGCUUACCUCCACUGAUUACCACCUCUUCCAUAAUCGGUAGAAAGGAAAUCUUUUGAGUUGUGAUCAAAUUCUGAACGAAUCUAGCUUCCUAAUGUAAUCAUUAAGAUGCUGGACUCAUUGAAUUAAUUUCAUUGUUUUCAGAGAACCUUGACAACUGCAUAGAUUAUUUUUAAAGACAAUAAGCAUCUUUAAUGAUGCAGAUUUAUUAUUUGUGCGAAUGCAUUAAUAACAAUUCUAUUAAGCUGAUGCUUCAAUUUUGAAGUUAUU